CACGUAGGGCGCGAGCGUUGUCCGGAAUUAUUGGGCGUAAAGAGCUCGUAGGCGGCCUGUUGCGUCCGCUGUGAAAGCCCGGGGCUUAACCCCGGGUCGGCAGUGGAUACGGGCAGGCUAGAGGUAGGUAGGGGAGAAUGGAAUUCCCGGUGUAGCGGUGAAAUGCGCAGAUAUCGGGAGGAACACCGGUGGCGAAGGCGGUUCUCUGGGCCUUACCUGACGCUGAGGCGCGAAGGCCAGGGGAGCAAACGGG
rnacentral:rRNA from 1 species